rnacentral:rRNA from 1 species
GUAANCCAGGUCAGUUUCUAUCCACGAAAGUUGCGCUUUUCUUAGUACGAAAGGACCAGAAAAGCAGUNCCAAUUUUUCAAAAAAAGUNCUAAAAAAAAGUUUUGAAAAAAAAAUGAAAAUUUUCACUAAAAAAUUUUACUUUU